UGUCAGCACAGAGCCCGACACGGGGCCGGAACUCACAGACUGCGAGAUUAUGACCUGAGCUGAAGUCGGACGCUUAACCAACUGAGCCACCCAGGCGACCCAUAAAAUUUCUGCUUAAUAUUCUUGGAUGCCAGUAGUGACAGCUUAUGCGGAAGUCCGUGUGGGGAGAAAUGGAGGCGCUGGCUAACAGACAACAACCAUGUGAGUGAGCUGAAAGAAGAUUCUUUAACUCCAGUCAAGUCUUUAACAGCAAUCAAGCAGCAUCAGCCGACAGCUUGACUGCCACCUCCUGAGUCACCUUGAAGCAGAACAGUUCAGGCCAAGGAUAGAAGACAAGACUUUGGCAAGAACAAAAUGAGCAAAGGAAUGAAGUGGAUCUGAAAUGGUAAUGAUUCCAACGGACUAUUCUGGCUACACACAACUAUGUUGCCUAGGAAAUAUGCGUGUGUUGGGGGGAACACAGAUUACUGAGGUUAUUGAAAAAUUUACUAAACUCUUAAUGUGAAAGGGAAUAUGGAACCACUGAGCUUUUAUUUCUCCUCUCAAAAUUUUGGAAACAUAUUUUUAAAAACAUAGUAAUUCAAAUGCAAGGAAAGAAAAUAUUUUGUUUAUAAAUUAGCAAAAGAAAAAUUAGUUUAUGUCUCGUAUUAAAAAAGAUGAGCACCACUCUUAUAAAAAAAUGUUUAAGUGGGCAAAGGGUUUGGGUAGACUAGGAGAUUUGGUAUGUGAGGUAACUUUUAUCAAUUACUGGUAAACGCUGAAGCAAAGAAUAAAUUUAUAUACCAUAGACCAAUAGCUUGGUCCUUAAUCUAAAAAUAUCUAAAUAUGUAUUACAGAGAUAAGAAAAUCCCUUACUUUACUAAGACUUGAUUUCCAAUAGUGAUUCCAUUGGACUUCAAAUAAAUUUAUUAAAACUUACCACCAUUAACAAACAUCAUCUGAGUGCUUUAGACAUUUUUCACAUAACCACUUAUUUCAAAGUGUAUAUAUAUAUAUAUAUAUAUAUAUAUAUAUAUAUAUAUAUAUAUACUAAAUUUAAAGUCCAGGAGCAGCAGUUUCUAAUUUUUUUGCAAUGCUGUAAUAGGAGCAGGAAAUAAUUUUAUGAAUGAAACUUUACCUGCUUUAAGUACAAGCUUCUUUUAGCUGUUGGAAUGUUUUCCUAAAGAAUUGUGCCUCAGGCAAGUCUGUGAUUUUAGAAUAAAUCAGAUCACGUUCAA